UACGUAGGCAGCAAGCGUUGUUCGGAAUUACUGGGCGUAAAGAGUGUGUAGGCGGUGCUCUAAGUCUGUUGUGAAAUCUCCCGGCUUAACUGGGAGGGUGCGGCGGAAACUGGAAUGCUAGAGGAUGGGAGAGGUAAGCGGAAUUCCUGGUGUAGCGGUGAAAUGCGUAGAUAUCAGGAGGAACACCUGUGGUGUAGACAGCUUACUGGACCAUUUCUGACGCUGAGACACGAAAGCGUGGGUAGCAAACAGG
rnacentral:rRNA from 1 species